UACGAGAGGCCCAAGCGUUAUUCGGAUUUACUGGGCUUAAAGAGUUCGUAGGCGGCGCAGAAAGUGGGGUGUGAAAGCCCUCGGCUCAACCGAGGAAUUGCGCUCCAAACUACUGUGCUAGAGGAAGCUAGAGGUGAGCAGAACAGAUGGUGGAGCGGUGAAAUGCGUUGAUAUCAUCUGGAAUACCGGAGGCGAAGGCGGCUCACUGGGGCUUUUCUGACGCUGAGGAACGAAAGCCAGGGUAGCGAACGGG
rnacentral:rRNA from 1 species